rnacentral:rRNA from 1 species
CCUACGGGAGGCAGCAGUGGGGGAUAUUGCACAAUGGGGGAAACCCUGAUGCAGCGACGCCGCGUGGGUGAAGAAGCGCCUCGGCGCGUAAAGCCCUGUCAGCAGGGAAGAAAAUGACGGUACCUGAAGAAGAAGCCCCGGCUAACUACGUGCCAGCAGCCGCGGUAAUACGUUGGGGGCAAGCGUUAACCGGAUUUACUGGGGGGAAAGGGGGAGCAGAUGGCGGUGCAAGCCAGGAGUGAAAGCCGGGGGCCGAACCCCGGGACUGCUCUUGGAACUGGGUGGCUAGAGUGCAGGAGGGGCAGGCGGAAUUCCUGGUGUAGCGGUGAAAUGCGUAGAUAUCAGGAGGAACACCGGUGGCGAAGGCGGCCUGCUGGACUGCAACUGACGUUGAGGCCCGAAAGCGUGGGGAGCAAACAGGAUUAGAUACCCUAGUAGUC